GAUGAACGCUGGCGGCGUGCCUAAUACAUGCGAGUCGAGCGAACGGACGAGAAGCUUGCUUCCCUGAUGUUAGCGGCGGACGGGUGAGUAACACGUGGAUAACCUACCUAUAAGACUGGGAUAACUUCGGGAAACCGGAGCUAAUACCGGAUGAUAUUUUGAACCGCAUGGAUCAAAAGAGAAAGACGGUCUUGCUGUCACUUAUAGAUGGAUCCGCGCUGCAUUAGCUAGUUGGUAAGGUAACGGCUUACCAAGGCAACGAUGCAUAGCCGACCUGAGAGGGUGAUCGGCCACACUGGAACUGAGACACGGUCCAGACUCCUACGGGAGGCAGCAGUAGGGAAUCUUCCGCAAUGGGCGAAAGCCUGACGGAGCAACGCCGCGUGAGUGAUGAAGGUCUUCGGAUCGUAAAACUCUGUUAUUAGGGAAGAACAUAUGUGUAAGUAACUGUGCACAUCUUGACGGUACCUAAUCAGAAAGCCACGGCUAACUACGUG
rnacentral:rRNA from 1 species